rnacentral:rRNA from 1 species
UACAGAGGUCUCAAGCGUUGUUCGGAUUCAUUGGGCGUAAAGGGUGCGUAGGUGGCGCGGUAAGUCGGGUGUGAAAUCUCGGAGCUUAACUCCGAAAUUGCAUUCGAUACUGCCGUGCUCGAGGACUGGAGAGGAGACUGGAAUUCAUGGUGUAGCAGUGAAAUGCGUAGAGAUCAUGAGGAAGACCAGUGGCGAAGGCGGGUCUCUGGACAGUUCCUGACACUGAGGCACGAAGGCCAGGGGAGCAAAACGGG